rnacentral:rRNA from 1 species
GUAACGCGUGAACAACCUGCCUUCUAGUCUGGGACAACUACUUGAAAAGGUAGCUAAUACCGGAUAAGAUCUAUUUAUGGCAUCAUAUUUAGAUGGAAGCUAUAUGCGCUAGAAGAGGGGUUCGCGUCCUAUUAGCUAGUUGGUAGGGUAAAGGCCUACCAAGGCGACGAUAGGUAGCCGGCCUGAGAGGGUGAACGGCCACAAGGGAACUGAGACACGGUCCUUACUCC